UACGGGGGGGGCAAGCGUUGUUCGGAAUUACUGGGCGUAAAGGGUCUGUAGGUGGCUUGCUAAGUCAGACGUGAAAGCCCUGGGCUCAACCUGGGAAUUGCAGUGGAUACUGGCAAGCUAGAGUGCGGUAGAGGAUGGUGGAAUUCCCGGUGUAGCGGUGAAAUGCGUAGAGAUCGGGAGGAACACCCGUGGCGAAGGCGGCCAUCUGGACCAGCACUGACGCUGAGGCACGAAAGCGUGGGGAGCAAACAGG
rnacentral:rRNA from 1 species